GACGAACGCUGGCGGCGUGCCUAAUACAUGCAAGUCGAACGCAUUUUCUUUCACCGUAGCUUGCUACACCGAAAGAAAAUGAGUGGCGAACGGGUGAGUAACACGUGGGUAACCUGCCCAUCAGCGGGGGAUAACACUUGGAAACAGGUGCUAAUACCGCAUAAUUCCAUUUACUGCAUGGUAGAUGGAUGAAAGGCGCUUUUGCGUCACUGAUGGAUGGACCCGCGGUGCAUUAGCUAGUUGGUGGGGUAACGGCCUACCAAGGCUGCGAUGCAUAGCCGACCUGAGAGGGUGAUCGGCCACACUGGGACUGGGACACGGCCCAGACUCCUACGGGAGGCAGCAGUAGGGAAUCUUCGGCAAUGGACGCAAGUCUGACCGAGCAACGCCGCGUGAGUGAAGAAGGUUUUCGGAUCGUAAAACUCUGUUGUUAGAAAAGAACAAGGAUGAGAGUGGAAAGUUCAUCCCUUGACGGUAUCUAACCAGAAAGCCCCGGCUAACUACGUG
rnacentral:rRNA from 1 species